rnacentral:tRNA from 2 species
GUGACUGAAGUGUAUGUGGCAAGCACGCCUGCCUGUGAAGCAGGAAGAGGGAGUUCGACUCUCCUCGGUCGCC